rnacentral:misc_RNA from 1 species
GAAAUGCGAUAAGUAAUGUGAAUUGCAGAAUUCAGUGAAUCAUCGAAUCUUUGAACGCACAUUGCGCCCGCCAGUAUUCUGGCGGGCAUGCCUGUUCGAGCGUCAUUUCAACCAUCAAGCCCCCGGCUUGUGUUGGGAACCUGCGGCUGCCCGCAGGCCCUGAAAAACAGUGGCGGGCUCGCUGUCACACCGAGCGUAGUAGCAUACAUUCUCGCUCAGGGCGUGCUGCGGGUUCCGGCCGUUAAACGACCUUCAUAACCCAAGGUUGACCUCGGAUCAGGUAGGAAGACCCGCUGAACUUAAGC